GUGGGGAAUCUUGCGCAAUGGGCGAAAGCCUGACGCAGCCAUGCCGCGUGAAUGAUGAAGGUCUUAGGAUUGUAAAAUUCUUUCACCGGGGACGAUAAUGACGGUACCCGGAGAAGAAGCCCCGGCUAACUUCGUGCCAGCAGCCGCGGUAAUACGAAGGGGGCUAGCGUUGCUCGGAAUUACUGGGCGUAAAGGGCGCGUAGGCGGACAGUUUAGUCAGAGGUGAAAGCCCAGGGCUCAACAUUGGAAUUGCCUUUGAUACUGGCUGUCUUGAGUACGGGAGAGGUGAGUGGAACUCCGAGUGUAGAGGUGAAAUUCGUAGAUAUUCGGAAGAACACCAGUGGCGAAGGCGACUCACUGGCCCGUUACUGACGCUGAGGCGCGAAAGCGUGGGGAGCAAACAGGAUUAGAAACCCCAGUAGUCC
rnacentral:rRNA from 1 species